CGGUGGACAAUCCGACCAGGAAAACUUUGGUGAAUUCCUCGAGGCUGUGACCUUCGUGUAAAUGGCAGUCCAGGGAAAUGCUGCGGCACCGGCCAGAUCGCCAUUGCUGGAAGUUGCCCCAGAUCGGGUCGUCCAGAAAAAGGGCGCGGUCCCAAUAAUUAAGGGUGGAUUUAUAGGGCAGGGAAAUGUUCUGCCGCCUUCAAGAUUGCCAAUGUUGGAAGCUGCGACCAACAAAAUUCAAUUCGUGAAUAGUUUGGCUUGCUUAGAACAGAAAAUUGAGGCACUGCAAUCUGGAGUAAAGGAGUCGCAAAAACGGCUGGAAGCAAAAAUUUAAAUACAUGGAUAUAAAUGAAGCGCUUAAGUGCGAAAACCAGAGAUUAAGAGAGUGCUUAAAAACCCGACUAGAAGUAAACGCCUUACCAGUUCAACACAAACACAGACCACAAAACUCCAUUACCACCCACA